UGCCAGCAGCCGCGGUAACGCGUAUGGGGCGAGCGUUGUUCGGAAUUAUUGGGCGUAAAGGGCACGCAGGCGGACUUGAAAGUCUGAUGUGUAAGACCGCAGCUUAACUGCGGGACCGCAUUGGAAACUAUGAGUCUUGAGUUCAAGAGGGGCAACUGGAAUUCCUGGUGUAGGGGUGAAAUCUGUAGAUAUCAGGAAGAACAUCGGUGGCGAAGGCGAGUUGCUGGCUUUGAACUGACGCUGAGGUGCGAAAGCGUGGGGAGCGAACAGGAUUAGAUA
rnacentral:rRNA from 1 species